AUUGAACGCUGGCGGCAGGCCUAACACAUGCAAGUCGAACGAGUGGCGGACGGGUGAGUAAUGUCUGGGAAACUGCCUGAUGGAGGGGGAUAAAUACUGGAAACGGUAGCUAAUACCGCAUACCAUCAGAUGUGCCCAGAUGGGAUUAGCGUGUUGGUGGGGUAACGGCUCACCAAGGCGACGAUCCGUAGCUGGUCUGAGAGGAUGACCCGCCACACUGGAACGUGUACACGGUCCAUACUCCGACGGGAGGCAGCAGUGGGGAAGAUUGCACAAUGGGCGCAAGCCUGAUGCAGCCAUGCCGCGUGUAUGAAGAAGGCCUUCGGGUUGUAAAGUACUUUCAGCGGGGAGGCGUUACCCGCAGAAGAAGCACCGGCUAACUCCGUGCCAGCAGCCGCGGUAAUUC
rnacentral:rRNA from 1 species